UUGGACCUACGGGAGGCAACAGGAGGGAAUCUUCGGCAAUGGACGAAAGUCUGACCGAGCAACGCCGCGUGAGUGAAGAAGGGUUUCGGAUCGUAAAACUCUGUUGGUAGAGAAGAACGUUGGUGAGAGUGGAAAGCUCAUCAAGUGACGGUAACUACCCAGAAAGGGACGGCUAACUACGUGCCAGCAGCCGCGGUAAUACGUAGGUCCCGAGCGUUGUCCGGAUUUAUUGGGCGUAAAGCGAGCGCAGGUGGUUUAUUACGUCUGGUGUAAAAGGCAGGGGCUCAACCAUUGUAUGCAUUGGA
rnacentral:rRNA from 1 species